AAAACGACAUGGUUUUUCAUGGUAGCAUGUUGUCAUCUGAAGCUAAUAAGUCUAUUUUAUAUCCAAAACGAGCUGGAGAGUUAUGUUUAUGUGGAACAUCAUGUUCGCCUUGUCUGAUUGAAAAUAUGUUCCACGGAAUAUCAUGCACACG
rnacentral:pre_miRNA from 1 species